rnacentral:rRNA from 1 species
AGUGAACGCUGGCGGUAGGCCUAACACAUGCAAGUCGAACGGCAGCACAGUAAGAUCUUGCUCUUACGGGUGGCGAGUGGCGGACGGGUGAGGAAUACAUCAGAAUCUACUUUUUCGUGGGGGAUAACGUAGGGAAACUUACGCUAAUACCGCAUACGACCUACGGGUGAAAGCAGUGGAUCUUCGGAGCUUUCGCGAUUGAAUUAGCUGAUGCCGGAUUAGCUAGUUGGCGGGGUAACGGCCCACCAAGGCGACGAUGCGUAGCCGGGCUGAGAGGAUGAGCGGCCACACUGGAGCUGAGACACGGUCCAGACACCUACGGGGGGGAGCAGUGGGGAAACUUUCGCAAAGGGGGAAAGCCUGACGGAGCCACGCCCCGUGAGUGAUGAAGGGCUUCGGGUCGUAAAACGCUUUUAUUGGGGAAGAAAAAAUGUGUAUGUAACUACCCACGUUUCGACGGUACCUAAACAGAAAGCCACGGCUAACUUCGU